GGGUCUGCAACUCGACCCCGUGAAGUUGGAUUCGCUAGUAAUCGCGUAUCAGCAAUGACGCGGUGAAUACGUUCCCGGGCCUUGUACACACCGCCCGUCAAGCCAUGGAAGCUGGAAGUACCUGAAGUCGGUAACCGCAAGGAGCCGCCUAGGGUAAAGUCGGUAACUGGGGCUAAGUCGUAACAAGGUAGCCGUACCGGAAGGUGUGGCUGGAAUACCUCCUUUCUGGAGC
rnacentral:rRNA from 1 species